CAAUUCAAAAUUCAUCAAGCAUUUCCUAGCUAGCUAUUACUCAAAACUCAAGAAAACUAACUAGCUAGCUAGCUCCUUCAAUUAAACCUAGUACUGCUCCUACCAAACAAUGGCUGCUAUUAAGCAUUGCAUUGCCCUAUUUUUGGUGGUGGCAUUAUCACUUUCAAGCAUGAAUGUGAGUUUUGCGGCUCGCAACUUGCUGCAAACUUCAGCACCAACACUGCCUACCAUUCCAGGCUUUCCAAAGGUUACACUGCCUCCAUUACCAGCAGUGCCAGUACCAUUGCCAACUACGCUACCAACGAUCCCAACUUUGCCCACAAUCCCAAAGGUGACAUUACCUCCUUUGCCGGCAUCACUCCCCACCAUUCCAACCACAUUCCCUUCAAUUCCAAACAUUAAUAUUCCUACAACUUUUCCAUCCAUUCCUUUCUUUUCUCCACCACCAUCCACCACUAGCCCUUGAUCGAGGUUUAAGACUUAGCAUUUUAUAUAAAUGAAUAUCCCCAUGGAUUUAUCAUUUGUUUAAAUUAUUGAUUGUAUGGUCUUGUGUCUAUAAAUUAUGGAACUAGCUAGUUUGUGUGGUUCCAAAAGUUGGCUUGUAAUUUCUAUUUUGGCAUUAUUUUCCCUGUUCACUUUGCCAUUUAUUGUUUACCCCUAGGGAUAUAUGGUUGUUAUAUACGUACAGUUGAUUGUUGUUAUGAAUAUUAAAGGCCAGGAUUCCUUAUUUUUAAUGUUUAUAAUAAGCUUCUAAUAGAUUCAAUAUUUA
rnacentral:lncRNA from 1 species